ensembl:snoRNA
GCAUGGGUUUGGAUUGAAGGCAGGCCCGACACCAUGGGCCUCUCAGAGUGUCCCGUGCCAGAGCGAACUGUGACCCCGAACCAUUGCCUGGCUCUGUCCCACGGGCGUCGGCACUGAAGUGGGUUGCACAGUG